UGUCGAAUGCCCAUUAUAGCAUGUAGCUGACAAGGAUGUGUGUUAUUAGUGAAAUAUAUUGACCUCCCUCAUGUUAUUUUCUGUCUAACACAUAAGCUAAUCAGUGCAUAAUGUGUUAGUUCCAUGGUGAACGAAGUUAAAAGAUAUCCCUGUAUUUGUCAGUCCCAUUUAUUAUUCAGUGUAUGGUUUGCGUGAGACCAUGCCUGCUUGGCAUAACCUCUGAGGUAACUGGUAACAGCCUUAAUACACAACUUUCUCUCAAAGCCUGUCCUACCAGAUUUCUUUGGCAACAAACCAGACCAAAUUCUCGGCAAUGCUUUAACAAAGAAAUUGUUGCAGCCACCUCCCCUGCUGGUGAUGACCAUAUGCAGCCAAUGCUGAUGUGAACCCGAGUGAUGAACAAAUGCAGAUCUGCAAAGGAGCUGUCCUGAGGCACCAUGCUUACCCAAGUCAUGCAGCGAGAGUCAGCAUGCCUGGAAAAGUACUUCAAAGCACACCCCAUCUGGCUGACUGCACUACCUCAAGAAAACUGCCUUUCUCCCAUCUGCAAGUUCCUAAGAAGUUACUUUAUGAAGCAAGCCAGCAGGGCGUACGUGUGAGGCAUGGCAGCACGGAGAACAAAUAAACAUGAGUAUUUGGUGC